AGGUUAUUACAGAGUAUUGAGCAGAGUUCCCUGUGCUGGACAGCAGGCCCUUGCUGGUUCUCCAUGUUAAAUACAGCAGUGUGUCCAUGUCCAUCCUGAACACCCUGACUAUGUCUUCCCCCGUCCUUCUUGAUGGUAACCAUAAGGUUAUUACAGAGUACUGAGCAGAGUUCCCUGUGCUGGACAGCAGGUUCUUGCUGGUUCUCCAUGUUAAUACAGCAGUGUGUCCAUGUCCUUCCCAAACUCCCUGACUAUCCCUUCCCCAUCCUUCCCCCUGGUGACCAUAAGGUUAUUACAGAGGAUUGAGCAGAAUUCCCUGUGCUGGACAGCAGGUCCUUGCUGGUUAUCCGUGUUAAAUGCAGCAGUGUGUCCGUGUCCAUCUCAAACUCCUAUCUCUUUGAAUGAAUUUUUAAAUCCUAAGUUUGUCCCCGAUUCAUAUACGUGCUUUAAAAAAAGUGUUCACUGUUUAUCUCCUCUUCAAAUUUAACUGGUGGUUACCGCUGCUGCUAAGUGCCAGCGUGACCUACACGCAGUGUCGGGGACAGACUUGCCCUCGUGGACGGUAAACCAGCCGCCGUCGGUAAAGGGCGCUCCUGCUGCAGAUCGUCUGUGACAAGAUGCAUAAUCAUGUCGCCGUCCCCAGAUGCAUUUACUCAGAAGGAAGUCUCAAUAGGAUCGCCUUAAAGAAAACAAACCUUCACAAGUGAGAGAACAAGGCUCCCAUUCAUCGCAGAAGAGGGGACUGGCAGAGAAAGAAAGAGUCCUUUAAAAUAGCUUGAAAUGACAUCGUCGGUCUACCCAAGAUACCCUCGUGGCUCUUGGCUGACAAUCUCCUUCUCUUCUGUGAGUUGGCGUUUACCCCGGUUGGCAACACUCUGAAUGCCGGAGAGCAAAAAAAAAAAUAAUAAUAAUAAUGCGCUGGGCUUCAGUUUGUGUCAAGGCUGGCUGUUUACUGAGCCCGACACAGUCCUACCCGGGAGAAACCACAAGUGGUUCCAACGUCAUAUACAGUAACGACCGGACGAUACAUCUGGGCUAUUGUACCGGUUUUGUAACUAUGCCUAUCAGCGUAGACUCUCCUGUCUCAUCCUGCCAUUGCAGCGGCUUUCAAGUGUUACCUCAUGUUGAAAAAUAAACGCAACAUUCUUCUUCCUGCUGUCCUGAAGGCUCUCUUAAUGAUAAGUAAACAGUCCUGUCCUGGCCAUCUAAUAUUUACACAGGUGGGAGUUGUUUCUCCAGGCAAAGGAAAACGUUUUGAAUGAACGCAUGCGAAGGCUUUCCGUCUUCGGAGACGUUUUAUUUUCAUGAAGCAGCGGCCUCGAAAAGCAAAAGUCUACGCUGAGUCACAGGGUUUUAUCAUUUUAUCUCGAAACCCCCGGCACCUUGCGCCGUCUCUGCAAACACAGAAGCACACAGGUCAUCUCUUGAUACUUUGUGACCCCGCAGACUGCAGCACGCCAGGCUUCCCUGUCCUUCACCGUCUCCCAGACUUUGCUCAGACCCAUGUCCAUCGAGCCGGUGAUGCCAUCUAACCAUCUCAUCCUCUGUCGUCCACUUUUCCUCCCGCCUUCAAUCUUUCCCAGCAUCAGGGUCUUUUCUAAUGAGUCAGUUCUUCCCAUCAGGUGGCCAAAGUAUUGGAGUUUCAGCUUCAGCAUCAGUCCUUCCAAUGAAUAUUCAGGACUGGUUUCCUUUAGGAUGGACUGGUUGGAUCUCCUUGCAAUCCAAGGGGCUCUCAAGAGUCUUCUCCAGCGCCUCAGUCUGAAAAAAAACAUUCAUUCUUUGGUGCUCAGCCUUCUUUAUGAUCCAGCUAUCACACUGUUGUGAAUGUAAUAGAAACACACCAGGUACUGGUUGCUCAGUUGUGUAGGUUGCCUGUGUGUAGUUUGCUUUGCAGUCAGCGUCAUUGCAACAGAUAAAUCCGUGUGCAUCCCUGGGACUCUGGAGACAGCCAAGUGUUCAUUGAGAUUCUAGGAAACAGGGAAGCCAAACAAUAGUAUACACCUUCGCGUUGUCUGUCUGCCCACCUUCCUGCUCUUAAUAAAAGGGAUGGAAAGGAGAUAAAUAUUGGUGAGAGGUAUUCAGGAUCUGCGGCUUCCCAUGUGACACAGUGGUUAAAACAGAAAAUCCGCCUACCAGUGCAGGAGACCCAAGUUCCAUCGCUGGGUCGGGAAGAUUCCCCUGGAGGAGGAAAUGGUAGCCCACUCCAGUGUUCUUGCCUGGAGAAUGCCAUGGACAGAGGAGCCUGGAAAAGGGGUAGGCUACCCACUCCAGUAUUCUUGGCCUUCCCUGGUGACUCAGAUGGUAAAGAAUCUGCAUGCAAUGCGAGAGAUCUGGGUCCCAUCCUUGGGUCGGGAAGAUUCCCCUGGAGGAGGAAACGGCAACCUACUCCAGUGUUCUUGCCUGGAGAAUGCCAUGGACAGAGGAGCCUGGAAAAGGGGUAGGCUACCCACUCCAGUAUUCUUGGCCUUCCCUGGUGACUCAGAUGGUAAAGAAUCUACAUGCAAUGCGAGAGAUCUGGGUCCCAUCCUUGGGUCGGGAAGAUUCCCCUGGAGGAGGAAAUGGCAACCCACUCCAGUGUUCUUGCCUGGAGAAUCCCAUGGACAGAGGAGCCUGGUGGGGCUACAGUCCAUGGGGUCGCACAGAGUCAGACACGACUGAGCAGCUAACACAGACACGCUCAUACACGUUCACGGUCUAGUUGACAUGAUGGUCUUGAUUCACGAACAUCCAGAAUUCGUGGGAUGAACGUAAGGAAGCGGACGGUGCACCUGCCAAGCGGGGAGUUAGUGUCACCACUGAGAGAACUUCCGUUCAUGGGUGUGAGGAUUCAGAACUUUGCAUCUGGGGCCAGGCUCUGUAUUCACGAAAACUCCUUACGGAUGACCAUCGCCCGUGAUGGUUUUCUGUAGACAGGCAUGUGCUGAGAUGCCUUCUUGGGGACCGAACUGGACUGUGUGACUACCUUCCCUUCUCUUGGAGAUCCCCUGCCGGGCAGACAGAUGUAUUUCAGGGCUCAAGCACCAAAAACAUGGUUUAAGUGAACAGACAGGAAGCUUGGAUCUGCAGUAAUGGGAUUUGUCUGGUUAAUUACCUUAUAGUGAGGUAGCUCAGUCGUGUCCAACUCUUUGCGAUCCCAUGGACUGUAGUCUGCCAGGCUUCUUUGUCCAUGGGAUUUUCCAGGCAAGAGUACUGGAGUGGGGUGGCAUUUCCUUCUCCAGGGGAUCUUCCUGACCCAGGGCUCAAACCCAGGUCUCCUGCAUUGCAGGCAGACGCUUUACCCUCUGAGCUCCAAGAAGCUCUACUAAUUCCCUUGGAUUCUUGCUAUUUCUGAACCAGAGGACAUUUAUGAUGUCACCAUACUUUAUUUGCUGUUGCGGUCCUGAGUCUCAGAACAGACUCUAAAAUAAGACACAGAUGAACUUACUGAUGAAUCAGAAACAGCCUCACAGACAUAGGAACCAGACUUUUGGUUACCGAAGGGGAAGGGGAGAAGAAUAAAUCAGCAGUUUGGGGUUAACGUAAACACACCACUGUAUAUAAAACUUGCAUGGAAUCAACGAGAUAACGAAGGGCAGGGAAGCCUGGUGUGCUGCAGUUCUUGGGAACCACACUGGACUGUAGCCUGGUAGACUACAGUCCACGGGAUCGCAAAGAGUCAGGCACGAUUUAGCAACUGAACAACCGGAGCGUGAUAAAAUGGGCUUCCCCGGCGGCUCGGUGGGAAAGAGUCCCGCUGCCGAUAGAGGAGACCUGGGUUCCAUCCGUGAAUUGGGAGGAUCCCCUGGAGAAGGAAAUGGCAACCCACUCCAGUAUUCUUCCUGGAGAACCCCAUGGACAGAGAAGCCUGGUGGGGCUACAGUCCAGAGUCACAAAGAGUCAGCUAUGAUUUAGCAGCUAAACAACAAUUAACAACAAAUAUAUAAAAUAAACCACAAGGAUGUAAUGUAUAGCACAGGGAACUGUACGCAAUAUUUGUUAAUCACCUAGAGUGGAAAAGAAUGUGAAAAAAAAAUACACGUAUAUGUUUAUAUAACUGACUCACUGCUGUGUAGCUGAAAUUAACACAGCAUUGUAAAUCGACUGUACUUUGGUAGAAAAAUUACUUAUAAAAAAUUGAAGGGGCAAAAUCUUUCUAAUCUAGGAGUAGGCGAAUAUUUCUUUCCUUUUUUUAAAAAAAUAUAUUUACUUAUUUCUCUGUGCUGGGUCUUAGUUAUAACAUGCAGGACCCUGACCAGGGAUUGAAUACCUGGACCCCUGCAUUGAGAGCUCAGAGUCUUACUUGACCACCAGGGAAGUCCCUUGGUGGAGAUUUUGUAAACAAAAUCAUAAAAACAGAGGCUAUGCGUAAAGAAAAAAAUAGAGGCAUUUCACUUAAUCCAACUCAACAUUCAGGAAACUAAGAUCAUGGCAUCUGGUCCCAUCACUUCAUGGCAAAUAGGUGGGGAAACAGUGGAAACAGUGGCUGACUUUAUAUUUUGAGGCUCCCAAAUCACUGCAGAUGGUGACUGCAGCCAUGAAAUCAAAAGACGCUUGCUCCUUGGAAGAAAAGCUAUGACCAGCUUAGACAGCAUGUUGAAAAAAAAGCUGUGCUUUUGAACUGUGGUGCUGGAGAAGACUCUUGAGAGUCCCCUGGACUGCAAGGGUAUCCAACCAGUCCAGCCUAAAGGAAAUCGCUCCUGAAU
ensembl:lncRNA